rnacentral:lncRNA from 1 species
GUAGCAGUUAAGUUAGUGUGUUCCGCUUGGGAGGCCUGGGGUUCACAGGUUUGGGUCCUGGGCGUGGACCUAGCCCUGCUCGUCAAGCCAUGCUGUGGCAGGUGUCCCACAUAAAAUACAGGAAGAUUGGCACAGAUGUUAGCUCAGGGCCAGUCUUCUUCACACACAGAAAAUAAAUAAAUAAAUAAUAUGUUAUUUAAAUUAACAUGUAAUGGGUUUAUUAUCGUUAUUUUAGUGAAAUAAAUAAAUAUUUUUAAAAGUCCUCAACUUUAAUUUCUAAUACAGUAACUAUCAUUAGGUGGGACCCACACACAUGGCAGCUGCGUGGUGUCUUCUGUUGUUUGUAAGCGUGUGAAGAAGCUGCAUUUCAAGUCUCGGUUCUGCUAUUUACCAGCUGUGCUGUCCCGAGCAAGUAACUUAACUUCUCUCUACUUCACUUUCUCCUCCAACCCUGAAAAUAGAGAUAAUUUUAACCUACCUCAUAAAGGGAGGUUGUGAGGAUUAAAAGAGGCGUAACAUUUAAAGUGAUAAGAACAGCUCCUGGCAUAGAGCAAAUGCUAUGUGAGUAUUAUGGUAAUAGCAGUCCAUGGAACACAGCAUUAUGGUGGGGUGGUCUGUGUCCCACCAGCCCAUGAGGCCCCCAGAGCAGGGUCUGGCUCAUUCAUCUCUAUAUCGUACACAAAGCUGAGUAUCUACUAGGUGGUCACAGAGUUUGGAGAGUGGAUAGAUGAGAAGCUGGGAGAAGGAUUCCUGACAAAUAACCGAAUUCAUGAACCUGGGGCCCAGUCCAGAGCAGUAGGAGUGAGACAUGACCCGGACCUGGAUGGAGCUGGGAGCAGACAGAGACGGAUCCUCAUCCUAAAGGCUGCGAGGCGACCCGCACGGAUUGCAGCCGCAGGGCCAGCAGCAAGUGGCCACUCGCCGUUCUUUCAGCUGUGUGGGAUGACUUACUAUUCGUUCUUCAACAAUGGAAGGGGCUGGUUGUGGGUUGCGGUUGUCUGUCCAUUUGUUGUUAGAGAACUGUGCUCAGGAGAGGUAACAAAUCAGAGUCUGGAGGCAGAUCAGGGAGGGGGUUGCUUAAAGGCCCUAAGUGAGAAGCGAAAUUCCCUAGAAUAAUGUGGCAGAAGAACACGGAGAGGAGAGGUAAGGACAAAUUAUGAAAGAGCAACAACAGUACUAACUAGUACUCAUUGAGUACUUGCUCUGUACCAGCUCUUGUUCUAGCACUUUAAAGACUUACCUCAUCUAACGUGUCAGAGGUACUAACUUGUCUUAUCCUCAUGACACGCCUGAAGUGAAAACUACUCUGAACACCAUUCUGAGGAAAGGAAACUGAGGCACAGAGAGGUUAUGGUGCAAAGAUGGCAUGUCUCCACCUCAAUUUAAUGUAGAAUGGAUUAAAAAAACUUCUUAAACAAGCGUGCCCACGUUAUGGAAAAAUUCAAGGAAGAUGUUCAUUUU